UACAGAGGGUGCAAGCGUUGUUCGGAAUUAUUGGGCGUAAAGGGAGUGUAGGCGGCUAGGAAAGUCUUCUGUGAAAUCUACGGGCUUACCCUGUAAUGUGCAGAGGAAACUAUCUGGCUAGAGUGUUGGAGAGGAUAGGGGAAUACCCAGUGUAGAGGUGAAAUUCGUAGAGAUUGGGUGGAACACCAGUGGCGAAGGCGCCUGUCUGGCUGACAACUGACGCUGAGACUCGAAAGCAUGGGGAGCAAACAGG
rnacentral:rRNA from 1 species